GACGAACGCUGGCGGCGUGCCUAAUACAUGCAAGUCGAACGAGUGGCGGACGGGCGAGUAACACGUGGGAACCUACCCAUAAGUGGGGGAUACCAUUUGGAAACAGGUGCUAUUACCGCAUACUGAUGGAUGGUCCCGGGGUGCAUUGGCUAGUUGGUGGGGUAACGGCCUACCAAGGCGACGAUCCGUAACUGGUCUGAGAGGAUGAUCAGUCACACUGGAACUGAGACACGGUCCAGACUCCUACGGGAGGCAGCAGUGGGGAAUAUUGGACAAUGGGCGAAAGCCUGAUGCAGCCAUGCCGCGUGUGUGAAGAAGGCCUUCGGGUUGUAAAGUACUUUCAGCGGGGAGGCGUUACCCGCAGAAGAAGCACCGGCUAACUCCGUGCCAGCAGCCGCGGUAAUAC
rnacentral:rRNA from 1 species